GAUGAACGCUAGCUACAGGCUUAACACAUGCAAGUCGAGGGGCAGCAUGGUCUUAGCUUGCUAAGGCCGAUGGCGACCGGCGCACGGGUGAGUAACACGUAUCCAACCUGCCGUCUACUCUUGGACAGCCUUCUGAAAGGAAGAUUAAUACAAGAUGGCAUCAUGAGUUCACAUGUUCACAUGAUUAAAGGUAUUCCGGUAGACGAUGGGGAUGCGCUCCAUUAGAUAGUAGGCGGGGUAACGGCCCACCUAGUCUUCGAUGGAUAGGGGUUCUGAGAGGAAGGUCCCCCACAUUGGAACUGAGACACGGUCCAAACUCCUACGGGAGGCAGCAGUGAGGAAUAUUGGUCAAUGGGCGAGAGCCUGAACCAGCCAAGUAGCGUGAAGGAUGACUGCCCUAUGGGUUGUAAACUUCUUUUAUAAAGGAAUAAAGUCGGGUAUGUAUACCCGUUUGCAUGUACUUUAUGAAUAAGGAUCGGCUAACUCCGUG
rnacentral:rRNA from 1 species